rnacentral:pre_miRNA from 1 species
CCACUCCAGGACGGGGAACCACCCUGCGUUCCCCUGUUACUUGAAUUAUCCAGGUGAACACAGCUGGUGGUAUCUCAGUCCUUGUGAUUUU